rnacentral:lncRNA from 1 species
CCUGUCUCACAAAUCAAACAACAUAGGUAUUUUUUAUAGUUUAUAUCUACUGAUACCUAUAGAACAUGCUUCUCAGUCUGAUAAGUUAUGUUUAUAUCAUUACAUGUAACAGACAGGUUUACAUAUCAUAUGGGGGGUCCGUAGAUUUACUCUCACUAAUUAAGGUCUAUAAAUUGUAACUAAUUAUUUCCUUUUCAGAAUUAGGAUGGUGACUAAACUAAAACAACUUCACUAAAAUGUAUUCACAAUUUCUCUUAAAUUCAGUUAUUGAUUUUUUUUCAAUUUUUUUCCCAAUUUUUUUUUUUUUCAAUUUUAUCAGCUGAACAGAUGUUUGUAAAACGAAUAUUUUUUCCAUUAUUUUUUUUUAAUUUCUGUAAAAAAAAAUAAAAUGAAUCUAUCAAUUGUACAUGUAGCAGAUGUUGUAAGUGUUUGGUGGUAAUUAAAAUUAUGGUAUUUAAUAAACUGGAGAAAAACAGCUAUGAUUUGGUUUUGUAGAUCAAAAUCUUGAAAAAGAGCUUUAAUAUGUCAAAUUAGGAGUAUCAAAAAUUUAUGUAUACAGUAAUCAGACUUAACCAGAAAGCUGAGUGCUGACCAAUUAAUUUAGGUUCUGUAUUCUUUUCAAGAGUUUUACUUUGAAGAAUAUUAAUUAAAUAAAGGAAAAGUCAUGCAACUCAAAAUAAAAUGUUGAAAAGUGUUAGGCGUUAGAAAAUUGAAAUUGUGAAAUUUAUAUUUGGCCAUUUUUUUUUUUUUUUACAACAACAUUAGAUGAUAAUAUUGCAAUCUUAUAUCACAUUAAAUACCUCCCUUAUGGCACCUCAACAUUUUGUAACAUGUAUGCUUUACCCUGUUGGAUGAAAAUCAAGAGAUAACAGUCAAACAUUGCCAAGAUUUGUUUUGCUUUCUUCUCAGAUUUUUUCUCACAAAAAUGAAUUGUGCAGAGAAUGCAUACAUGUUAAUGUUCAAUUCUACGAAAUAUGCAUAUUACAUAUGCUUUGUUUUCUUACC